rnacentral:lncRNA from 1 species
UGCCCAGCCUCAGUGUUUUAACAUGCUAGGAAAUCACCUAUCUUGACAGCACGUCAAAACCGAGAGAGUCCUGAUGGCGAAGUGACGAACAAGCAGAAGAAGGAAGCAGACAGAUGAGAAAGUGGAUAGCGGGGAGGAGUGGCGAGAGCAGCGUUGGUGCCUUCCCAGUUCUCAGGAGAUCCCGUCGUCCUUCCUCCAUUGCUUCCUAUGAGACCUGCAAGCAAAGAUGGCCAGUGAUCGGACCAAGAGCCCACUCUAAGCUUCAUUGCCCCCUCAUUAUAAUACAUUUCCACACUAAGAUCUCCACCCAGAGGGCAGAUCUCAUACAUUUGAAAGCACAUUUAGACAUGCGUAACUUCAUACCAGCACAGUCACUAAACUCCACUUUGUCCACAGACUAUCUUCUUUAAACAAAAACAAAAACAAAAACAAAAAACAGGGAAUGGUCAAUGACAUUCC